AGGGGAGCGGCUAUGGCGAGGGAAGUGGAAGCGGUCACGGUCAGGGAAGCGGUUAUGGCCAGGGGAGUGGUCACGGUCAGGGAAGCGGUUAUGGCCAGGGGAGUGGUCACGGUCAGGGAAGCGGUUAUGGCCAGGGGAGUGGUCACGGUCAGGGAAGCGGCUAUGGCCAGGGAAGCGGUCACGGGAGCGGUUAUGGCGAGGGAAGCGGUUAUGGUCAGGGGAGCGGCCAGGGUCAGGGAAGCGGUCACGGAAGUGGCUAUGGCCAGGGGAGCGGUUAUGGCGAGGGAAGCGGUCAUGGUCAGGGGAGCGGCCAGGGUCAAGGAAGUGGAAGCGGCCAGGGUCAAGGAAGGGGGAGCGGUCAUGGCCAGGGUCAGGGAAGUGGAAGCGGCCAGGGAAGCGGCUAUGGCGAGGGAAGCGGUCAUGGUCAGGGAAGCGGCUAUGGCGAGGGAAGCGGUCACGGAAGCGGUUAUGGUCAGGGGAGCGGCCAGGGUCAGGGAAGUGGGAGCGGCUAUGGCGAGGGAAGCGGUCAUGGUCAAGGAAGUGGAAGCGGCCAGGGGAGCGGCUAUGGCGAGGGAAGCGGUCAUGGUCAGGGAAGUGG
rnacentral:lncRNA from 1 species